CGCCCGUCCAGACGCUCUUUCGUCCUGUGCAGCCCGCAUCGCGACGCAUCUGCUGCAGCGCCGCCGUCGCGCCGCAGGUUCAGGCGUCCGCCGACAGAUGGGCUACGCAGAUCGGCUUCAGUACAGCUUAAACUCCACAGCCGUUAACAUCGAUCGCCCUCGGACUGUCUGUCUGGUGCUACUCUGGUACUCUCCCGGCAACGCGCGGAUUCCCCUCCCGAGUGCAUUUCCAGUGAAAAUUUUUGAGUGAGUGAUUUUGAAUUCAGCACCGACCCAGAUCGAUUCGAUUGGCUCGACGUCGGCAGUGAAUCGUGAAUUGAUAUGAUGUGAGUGAGCAGGAAUGUCAGUUUCGGAAAAAGUUUCCCCGCACCAUUUGGAAGAUGAGGAAUCACCUCCCAGGGGCGAGACUGAUUUUGUUGUUGAUCCGGUACCUGGAUGUGAGAAUUCGACGUUCUACGGGGCCGUAGUAAAGUCGUCGCAUUAGUCCGAACCCAAUUCGCGCCACCAGACAUGUGUAGAAUAUCGUACGAAAAAUGUAUAUGUUUUGUAUUUCUAAUAGUAAUUUUAGUCGUUUUGAUUUGCUCUGGUUUCCCCACAGAUAACUUAGUCACGCCGAACAGUAGCAAAAAGUAUUUCCGUACCUCAAUGGCAUCGUCCUCCCAUUUUUUAAGUCGAGUUUCUAACGUUAACCCUGAUGGUUCCGUACCGGCUCGGGCGCGGCAUCACAGACAGUUGAGGGCUGCAAAACGCGACUCCCGAACUUCCAAAACGCCGACGGGCCACAUCGAGGCCACCGUUUACCAAAACGACGCGAACCCGAGCGAACUCACCAAAACACUCAACACUCGAUCGCAACGAUCGUCCGGUCGAUCCCGGAACCGGCAAAAAACAGACUGUCAACCCGAACACUUCUCCUCAAAAGCCUACAAAUCUCAAAUCGUCCUCACGGCCAAAGCGCAAGGGUUUGAGAAGAUUAAUCACAAGGUCAGCUUCAAGUUGGUCCAGCAGCUGAAGAACGUUUCCUCCAUUCCAAUACACGAGUGUCUAAAUCCUCAGUUCUCCAAUCGCACGGAAAGGUGCGACAGCGGCCAACGUGACAGGAAAAAUCUAGUCAGUGCCAAUAUUAGGGGCUCUCGGGAAUACAUCCUGUUCUUUAAUAUCUCCGGUGCCAAUGAAUGUACACCCGCAUUUUCCCCGGAGCUGCUCAGACGGAAGAAAAAGGAGAAAAUGUUGAAAACUCUAGAGAAAGUCACCCGUCACAACUUCAAAAUAAAGCCGCCGAAAAUCCAUAUCAAAUUCGGGAAGGUAACAGGGGUACGAAAAGUGAAGCUGAUCUGUAACUCGAAUGGACUGCCCGUUCCUCAGAUAUCCUGGAGGCGAGACAACGUUCCCAUAGUCAACAUGCCUGAUGUAACUAUCAAAUAUGUAAAGAAUGACGAUCUGAAUGAAGGGAAACGGAGUAUCCUGACGAUUAAGAACCAUUCGCAGGACCAUAUUGGCUGGUACGAAUGUGUCGCUCGAGGUGUCGAUGGAAAAGAAGUCGUCGAAAGGAUCGAGGUCAAGCAACAGCAGAUUCCUUUCAGUGAGCCAAUUUUAACUAAUAAAAAAUGUAACGGAACAUACGAAGAAGAGUUUUGCAUGCAUGGAACAUGCUAUAUGGACUAUAACAAUGAAUUUUUUUGCGAAUGUAUGAACGGAUACAUCGGCCAACGAUGCGCCGAAAAGGAUGCCCAACAUUCUGCGAGUAGGUAUCCACAAACACCAUCAUUCGCAUGUAAAUUAGGACUAUCGACGAAAUAUUAUUGCUAUUGAUGAGGAGAUCUAGAUUGAACAUGUAAAUUACUCUUGUUACCGUUGUAAAUAGUGUUUCCUGUCUCCGAAUGGAAACUGUAUAUUUGUAAAUGAUCCUAAUUGAAUAAGACUGUUAAAAUUUAUAUUUUGUAUGCAAAGCAGUCGAUUGGUCAGGGCCGGCUUUUCACCCGAUACACUUUUCUCAUACUACCAUUAACUAGCACUUUUAAAUUAUCAUUUUUUAAUUUUUUAAUUGCUUUAAUUUUAACUUAUCGCGCUUUAUAUCGUUGUGGCACGCAAAAGCAUUCCGAAACAUUGGCAUAUUACUCGCGUCAUCCACCGUCCUCGCCAUACAUUUUCUUCUAUAUACCAUGUAUAUACUAUUUAUAUUUUUUUACAAGUCCUGUAUAAGCGAGGAAAACUAUUUCAUUCAGCGGACGGGUGAAAGGCUUCGUAUCUGUAGGUUAAGAGUGACUGGCUUGAAACGUCCCAAAAAGUUCAGAUUUGAUCGACGAUAAGUAAACUCUUAGUAUCCAGACUUUUCAAUGUUUUUGUCGGCUUGUUUGUUCCAGUCGCAAAAAUAUAGUAUACAUUUUCUUUAUAAAUUCCUAUCGGGCUGAGAUAUUUCGAACUGCAGCCAGUCGCAAAUCUUUCGUCUCGUGCGCCUAAAAAUAUCAGGGACCGGUAUUUUAUUACUUUUUGUAUAAAAAAACAUGUAGAUAUAUUUAUUUAUUACAUCUAUACUCACAACAAACUCUGAAAUCCCGAUUUAAUUAUAACAAAAGUCUAGAAAUAGCUGUAAAACUUAUUAAUAAAAGCAUUGUGACUUACAAAUCUGCAUCGAUUGUGUUAUUUAGUAGUUCCGAACCAAAAGUCCAACUUUCCAAUGGAAAAAAUAUGAUUAUAGAAAGACAUUUGAAAGACUCUGAUUCAGAACGUUAGACCAGCAAUACAGAGUAAGAAAUUAUUUACGGAAAAGGAAUUGAUGGAUGGUAGGAGUAACCGUGAAGGACUGAAAUCUGCGAUAAACGACAGCAAGCCUCUCAAAUCGCGCAGUAACUACACCAAAGAAAAGCAUUAGCACAACUGUAAUGGAUGUAAAUACUCAUUAAGAUAUUUAUUUAACUAUUUAAUUUUAGAUAGUAAACUAGCGCAUUUACCCUGAAAUUUAGCAACUAUUGAACACAUGUUUAGCUUAGAUCGAAUUAAUUGCCUUGAAGACGUUUACACUCUUCCUAAUUAUGUGCUUUCGCUAUUCUGAUUAGGGUUAAAGCCUUUUAAGAAAAUUGUUGCUAGUAGCUGAACAAAAGUAUUAAAUAAGUUUAAUCGAAUAAUAAAUAACUGUUAGUUUAAUCGAUUGACUCAGGGUAAAACUGCUUUCCUACCAACUAAAAUAUUCUAGAUAUUUUAUUAAAACAUAUAUGAAUGUGAAAGCGCCCAACCUUUUUUAUUGUAGAAUUUGCGGAGCAAACAUUUGAUAAAUUUAUAGAAUGUAAUUUAUUUUAAUAUACUCGCAUGAUGUGAUAGAGACAAAUGGCCUUUAUUACGGACUAAUUUCAACCAAUACAUUUCAAGGAAAUUUUUUUUGUUUAAUGGUUCAAUAUAAAUGAAUCUCCAGGCCAUUUGUCGUAACUACAGUUAAGUUUUUUAUUGCUAACAUUUUUAUUUGUGAAUUGAAAAUUGCUAUUUACUAAGCAAUGCUGUAAUCUGGAAAUUGAACGAAUUUUGGAUUCAAGGCAAUAAUAAGCAAUGGAAACACUUAAAAAUACUAUAAUUUAUUAACUAAAAGUAAACUAACUAAACCAACAUACAAAGUGUCUUUAAAAUCCAAGGUUUGAUUUAAUGUAGCAAAAUAUGCAGUAUUAAUGAUAUGUGUCUAAAAAAAUAAUACAGUGCCGGUUUCCGAAAAAGGUUUCAAUAAAAUUAGUAAAACAUGUUACAGCAGCUCUAAACCUCACGAAGGCAAUGAAAACUGAUAAUACAGUUGUCGUUAGGCUUCUAUUUCCUUUCUCUUAGAGAAUUGCAUUUAGACCAAAGCUAGUGAGACUUAAAUUAGGAGUUUCUUGUAACAGCCAGUAUUAUAAAAGCUAUAUGAAUUCGGAAGAUGCCUUUAAGAAACACAAACCGUCAGGAACAGAUUUGAAAGUAUUAGAUAUGUGUAAGCUGAAAUAAACAGACAAUACAGAUAGA